rnacentral:rRNA from 1 species
GUAGGGAAUCUUGCGCAAUGGGCGAAAGCCUGACGCAGCCAUGCCGCGUGAAUGAUGAAGGUCUUAGGAUUGUAAAAUUCUUUCACCGGGGACGAUAAUGACGGUACCCGGAGAAGAAGCCCCGGCUAACUUCGUGCCAGCAGCCGCGGUAAUACGAAGGGGGCUAGCGUUGCUCGGAAUUACUGGGCGUAAAGGGCGCGUAGGCGGACAGUUUAGUCAGAGGUGAAAGCCCAGGGCUCAACCUUGGAAUUGCCUUUGAUACUGGCUGUCUUGAGUACGGGAGAGGUGAGUGGAACUCCGAGUGUAGAGGUGAAAUUCGUAGAUAUUCGGAAGAACACCAGUGGCGAAGGCGACUCACUGGCCCGUUACUGACGCUGAGGCGCGAAAGCGUGGGGAGCAAACAGGAUUAGAUACCCUAGUAGUCC